rnacentral:rRNA from 1 species
UACGAAGGGGGCUAGCGUUGUUCGGAAUGACUGGGCGUAAAGGGCGCGUAGGCGGCGAUCUUAGUCAGGCGUGAAAGCCCUGGGCUUAACCUAGGAAUUGCGUUUGAUACUGGGUUGCUGGAGUGCGGGAGAGGAUGGUGGAAUUCCCAGUGUAGAGGUGAAAUUCGUAGAUAUUGGGAAGAACACCGGUGGCGAAGGCGGCCAUCUGGACCGUUACUGACGCUGAGGCGCGAAAGCGUGGGGAGCAAACAGG